rnacentral:rRNA from 1 species
UACGUAGGGCGCAAGCGUUGUCCGGAAUUAUUGGGCGUAAAGAGCUCGUAGGCGGCCUGUUACGUCUGCUGUGAAAUCCCGGGGCUUAACCCCGGGCGUGCAGUGGAUACGGGCAGGCUGGAGGCAGGCAGGGGAGAACGGAAUUCCCGGUGGUAGCGGUGAAAUGCGCAGAGUAUCGGGAGGAACACCGGUGGCGAAGGCGGUUCUCUGGGCCUGUACUGACGCUGAGGAGCGAAAGCGUGGGGAGCGAACAGG